GGACUACAAGGGUAUCUAAUCCCGUUCGCUCCCCUAGCUUUCGCACCUCAGCGUCAGUCAUUAGCCAGAAGCCCGCCUUCGCCACGGGUGUUCUCCACGAUAUCUACGCAUUUCACCGCUACACCGUGAAUUCCAGCUUCCCCUCUAAUACUCAAGUGAAGUAGUUUUGGAGGCAAUUUCCAGGUUAAGCCUGGAGCUUACACCCCCAACUUGCUAAACCGCCUACGUGCGCUUUACGCCCAGUGAUUCCGGACAACGCUUGCCCCUUACGUAUUACCGCGGCUGCUGGCAC
rnacentral:rRNA from 1 species